UGAGUAAUUAAAUUGUAUUAGAUUAUAUAUAUAUAUAUAUAUAUAUAUAUAUAUAAUAAUUUUAUUAAGAAUUUGGUAAUGGAGAAAGACUCUCUUCUUCCAACUUCAUCACAUUCAUACUCGAUACACUGAACCAAUCAAUAAAAGCUCGCUAUCUAACCGUGGGUUGAUCAUUCAAAGCUUGCCACAAAACCUAACCAAAGAACGUGUGGAGAGUCUUAUGUAUCUCAAACUCUCUUCAUAGUUGGCAACAAGUUGGCCGUAUUACUAACUAUUUCCUAAUAAAUACAGUAUCCGAGCAAAUUCCGCUAUCAAGAUAUAUUGUUUGUUGCCUUAUCAACCAAUAUAUAGCCUCAAACUAUUUAGCUAGGAGUUUCAGCCCUCGCCUAUAUAUUGUAUUUUCAGGGAGCUUCUAGAUAAAUUCUCUUUUGACUCUCUUACAUUAUCUUUCUACUCUUUUCAGGUCUCUUUCUAUUCAUUGAGAGUUGUGUUUGAUUUAGACAUCGAAGACCCGCUGCCUGACAUAUUCAGACGAGCUGGAAUCUCCAAGGACCACCGCUAACUCGGUGUGUGUGGGUCGGAUGGGUUCCCAGCAGCAGCGAUACUUAUCUCAAAGCAGGAGAUGGGCGAGAUGCAACGGUUGCCUGCACGAAAGAACAUUAGACAAGGCAUGCGGUACGGUACUCGGCGGAGCGCGGAAACUAUCAGAUCAGGGGUCGGCGCCUGAACGCUCCUCCUUGCCGUAAUGCUCAGGUUCUUGACAGAGCCAGACCUCAACCUCGUGCGAUAGGGCGCAUCGCCGCCGUUGGAGCAACAUCUUGACGGGUCUGACAAGGGAUACGAGAAGUGAUAUAAGAGCGUGGCUACGGUGAGCAUUCACUCGAACUUCUUCGUGUACAGAGCACUACCAGGGCGAUGAGGAGGAGUUGAGAAGGAUGAGUGAUGCAUGUAGCUCAGAAUUUUCUAUGUAUUUAUUUGGAUGUUUAUGAAACUUUUGUUCAUGCUUACGUUUUUAA